rnacentral:misc_RNA from 1 species
CAUAUUCAAUUCUAUCCGGUGAAGAGUUUUUCAUACUAACCGUAUUUAUUAGAGGAGUUCCGAGGAAGCGCAAACUCUAAACACGAUAGCGGCAAAAUUGCAUUGUGAUAGAGGAUGUAAACAAAUAGGUCCUAGUGCUAUAUAUAUGACAUGGAAGUUCAACAUGUGGAAGAUUCUGUUGACCUGUAUGCCGAUCUGUUAGAGGAUAAAGCUUGUCCACCCGAACAAAUUCCAUGCCAAGAAAAGCAAUCUCCAGUUGUUCCGAGCAUUGAUGAGACCAGUAGAUUGACAACGUUAGAUCUUUACGAUGACCUAAUUACCCAUGAAGGUUUACAACAGGAAAACGCUCAUCAGGAGUUAAAUGAAAAAUACAAGGCUGCUUUGGACACCAUCAGUGAUUUGGAGAGACGACUGGAAGCAGCCAAAAAGCAGGAGGCAUUCUACUUAGAGAAAUGUCAGACCCUGGAGAAAAACAUCUCCCUGUUAUACGUCACUGCUAAAGCAGAGCUCCAGAGAAAGGAUUCUCAGAUAGAGGAACUCAGGAAGAAGCCAAAUUACAAAAGACAAUGGCGGAAACCCAACUGUCAAGAACCGGUCAGUGAAUUGGCCAAAGAAGAAGGCCACACAAGGAGUAAUGGACACAGUGCCAGUCUGAGUGCAAAGAAAGACACACAGCAAAGACCAGAGACCCGGAAAUCUCCCAGAAAAAGAAAAUGUCUGAGUUCUUGGGAAGACUCGAGAGACAACUCCAAGAAGAGAUCUAAGAAAGAAGAGUCCAGCCACAAAGCAACAGAACCGAGUUCUUCUUAUCAUGGUGUUCAGUUUCACUCCGAGAAGUCACGUGACGGUUUGAUAUCUGCUAGAAAACUAGUGGAAAAAAGCAUCAAAGACUUGAGGAACAGGAGAUCUAAUGAGUUUAAAAGAAAUGCAAAGGAUCUUUCGAACUCUGUGAUUGAGAAAGACUUUUCAGGGGUUAGUUUAGUUAAUUCAGAAUCUGACCAUCAGUCUUUCAAUGUGACAGUGACACAAUGCAAUGAAAAGCCGAGUAAACCUAGUGAAGUCGGCACAACUGAAGACUCAUUAGUCCACAAAGAAAGUGAAAUUAGUAUGAAGGGUUUAAUUGACAAUCAAAAAAAUGUGAAGAAAGAUCCUAAGGAGGAAUCAUUACAUAGAGCUGUGGUUGCCGAUGUGAAAACCACAUCAAAAGAAAGUGAACACUUGUCUCCAAAAACAAAACAUAGACCUCAACAGUCUUCUCCCAGCAGGAAAAGGAUAGAGAAAGAAGGUGGUGAUAAAGAAAGGCAUGGAAGAUAUUCUGAGAGAAAGGAAUCGGAACGAAAGGAAAGACGGAGUCAGGACAAAGAAGAGAACAGAAGGAAAGAGAGACGGCCUACACGGCAGCAAAGAAAGUCUGGUGAAGGAACAGAAUCCUCUAGAAAUAAAUGUGAUCGUGGUGAUGUUGUAAAAGACUCGAGGCGAAAAGAUGAAACUGGGAUAAAAGAUUUGAGGUGUAAACUUAGUAGAAAUAAAAGGCAGGGAUCCAAAGAAAGUAGUAAAGAUUCAUCCCCGGACAAAGAAAUCAAAGAAAACAGGGAUUCAAAAAGUGCCAAGAAAAGCAGGUUGGACACUCCUGAUUCUCGCAAAGAAAAAGGAUUUUCAACAUCUGGAAGAAAACCAUUAUCUGUGAAACCAGAUUCAGUGGGUUCAUCCAGAAUUGAUGAGGUUUGGUCAAAGGUCAAUACAGAUAGCUUAAAAAAUUCUCAGGAAACCAUUGCUGACAAUGCUUUUAAUGAACCAAUGUUAAGUUCAAAGGUCAGUGAAAAGGAUGAAAUGUUACGGCAAACAGAAUGGACUGAGAAGAAACCUUUGACUCCAAAAGCAAGUCAUAAGCCUAUCGAAAAUAGAAAUGCAAUGAUGAUUUCAAGUGUUGAGGAGGCUAUGGUGAGGGUGAAUGAAGAAAAAAUUAGCAAGUAUCGUGGGGCAUCCAACAAUGAAGUCGAAGCGUUGACUGGUGAGUCGGACUAUUGUAGUGGAAAGGACCCGAUGAAAGCCAAAGAAAAAGGUGCGGAUGUCAUAUCUCCAUAUGCAGAGGUCAAAAAAGGAAUCCAUAGUAACAGAGACAGAGAAACAAAUAGGUGUGAUGAAAAUCCAACGUCGGUUUUUAAAUGUCCAAUCAGUACUCAAAAUGUUUCAGGUGACAAAGACGUAUCUUCUGUUUUUAUAGAAGAGUUGAUAUCAAUGGAUGAAAACUGUAGAGACAUUUACAAUGAAAAGUAUGAUGAACAUGUAUUGAAAGAUAAUGUUGCCAGUGAAAGGGAUGAGAAUAAGAAUGCUGAAGGUUACACAUCGAGUGUACCUGAUGCUCAGGAUGGUAGCUUGAGCUGUUUUGAUGUUAAACUCCAUGUGUCCGAUAAAGAAAUAAAAGACUUACUUGGAAAUGAAGAUAGUUUAAGUGAAGGUAUUAGCAUAGCAAAACAUGACGUGGAAAAGAAAUCAAAAGAGUGUGAAAGAAGAGCAAGUUCUUCCAGAAGUACAUCUAAAUAUUCCUCUACUGUGGAUAAGAAGACUGAGAAGAAAAGCAGUACAAGGGAGAAAAGGUCCAGUGUGGAUAAAAGGUCCAAUGUGGAUAAAAGGUCCAAUGUGGAUAAGAAGAGAGACAAUGAGCCAGCAUUUUCUAAGGCGGUUCUCAAACUUCCACUUGGAUCCAAAAAUGUUUUUUCAGAGAGUGUGUUUGAGAAUACCAAGCCAGUUUCUGUAAAGGAGAAUGUAUACACAUCAUCUAAAGGAACAAAAAUUGUUCUGAAGUCAGAAUCUUUGAAAGCAGAAAAGAAAUCUGUUCCAAAGAACAGCCUGUCCAAGAAGGAAUACGACGCCGAUCGUGAGUUCCUUAGCCAGUUAAAAAGGAAAUAUGCAAAGGAGGAUUUGAAGAUUGUUCCAAAACAUGGCAGUCAGAAGAAAGAAAGUGCAACUGCUGAAGAGGUAUUAAAAGACAGGGACCUGCUGGUUUCUGAAUGUUCAAACUUUGAAUUAAAUUCUGAAAAGCAGAGAAUGACUACUGAAGAACAAAGUGAAAGGAAAGAGAGUGCAACUAUUGCAGAGGUAAAAGACAGGGACGUGCUGGUUUCUGAAUGUCCAAACUUUGAAUUAAAUUCUGAAAAGCAGAGAACGACUACUGAAGAACAUCAGAAUCAAACUGUGUGUAGGGACCCAUCAGAAAUGGUGUCGAUAUCUCAAUUAGAUGAGAAAACUUCAAUAUCUAAAAUUGAUAAAAAAGAAAGUGAAAGAGAAGGUAGAAAACCCGAGUCAGCUCAAUAUGCAACAAGUGAUCAUUCUAAAGUUGAGAGAGAGAAGAGAAGUAUGGAGAGAGUUUCUGUAGAGAAGGGUGCACAACCUCUCAUUGAGCAAAGGGAAACAUCUUCGGAAGAUCACAUUGAAGAUAGAGUAAGGAAGUGUGAAGAUUCAGCAACCAUUAGCUCAGGGAAUAAAAAGCAAGAAUCAAAGGAAUCUACCUCUCUCAUUCAAACAACAGACAAAAUUUCUAGUCCAGAGUCAAAACAAUACUCCACUAUAUCAGGAGAUGUCUGUCAACCUUUGUGUGAACCUAUGGAAUUGGAAGUUGUUCCAUCAGUACAAACUACAAUUCAAAGCACAGUAGAGUCCAGGGAUGAAAAAACCUCCACUGCAAGCUUAAAAAAUAGUGUAAAGUCCUGCACUGAACCUACAGAGUCAAACAUAUCAGUUUUAAAGACAAAAGAGCAAAGUUCCCUUGUGUCCAUUGACUUCAUUCGCAGCAGUAUACUGAAAAAGAUUGAAGAGAAGAAAACUGUGUGUAUUGAGAGUUCUAUGGAAUCUGUGAUAGAGAGCAAACAGAAUGAUGCAAGCCCUGAAAGCAAUGUGAGUGUUACAAGAUCUCAAAAUGACCUAAAGACUGAACAACCAACAAAUCUGGUUUCACACAUAAAAAGGAACUCACCUAAGAAACAAACUCAAGAAGAAAAAGUUCAAUCAUUAUGCAGUUUUAAACCAUCAGAAGUUGGGCUACAGAAGCUAAAUGUAUGCAGGGACUUGCUAACUGAAACUGAGAGUAUAACUGAGUUUUUCGAUGAAGAGAGUCAGCUUGAUCUGAAUGGAGCUGUUUCGCUUCGAGCCAGGGAUGGAAUCGAUGUCAGAAGGCAGUCCUUUGAGAAAAAUUCUGAGACAGAGGAAGGAGAGCAGGGGUUGAGGUCUUCAUCUUUAGUGGAGGAGAUGGAAACGGAUGUUGCGGACAUCCAUGAGAGUGAUGUAUUGACGCUGCAGGACAGUGAAGCAGAGGAAGGUGAAGUGCAUUCCUCUGACACUGAAAAUAAUUUAGAUAUGGAAAAGUUUGUAUUUGGAAAAGAAAAAACAGAAAGAGAUCAAAAUGUAAAAGAUGGAAGGUCUCGCAAUAGAAGUGGUCGUUCUUCAGGAAGUAGGUCAAAGUCUGGCUCAAAGGAGAGAGAAAGGAUAGAAGUUGAUAAACCACGAAGAAGAAAUACCUCUGAAACAGACAGGUCAGUUAGAACACCGAGAAGAGAUUCCAGGAGGAAAUAUGACUCAAAGGAGGAUAGGAAACAAAGAGACGGUAGAUCCAAAGAAAGGCCUUCAAAUUCCAGUGGCAGUAGAGGCAGCAGAGAAAACAGAAUGGAUGACAGGAAUUCUGACUCUAAGUCUUCAGCAACAACUAGAUCUUCAGCAACAACUAGAUAUCGGAGGGAGUCCAGGGACUCAAAAGAACCAGAGAAAUACCCUAGAAGUCAUCUCAGCAGUGCAGAGGUGAAAUCAGCUAGGCUAGAGAGAUUUCGAGAUUCGGAGAAUUCCAGGUCCCGUUCAGAUACAAAAUCAGACAGAAAUUCAAGCUAUCGAUCAGCUGUGUUACAGUUGACAGAGAUUUAAAAUAGAAAAUAAUGACAGCAUUUAAUUUUACCUCACGGAAGCAGCUUAAACAGCUGCUAAAUGAUGUGGAGGGUGUUCAAAAAGAUGACAUUCAUUCCUACGCGGGAGGACAUUUAAAUGAGUCCUAUUUAUACAAACCUCCCUCAUCAUGGGGAAGCAGCAAGUGGACAGCUGGAAAGGGAAAGAGAAUCUCUCUUGUUGAAAAAAGCACCGUACCAAACCCCCCUGUGAGGAAGUCAACAAACACUAAGGAUACUAAAAUGAAAGACACUUUGUAUGACUUUAGUGUAGGUACCACGGGCAGUGUUCCGCUGUACAAUAGUGAGAUAAACAUGGCACCGCAAAUUCGAUACAAAAACAUUAAGACACCCGUAAGUACGAUAGGGACUAUUGAUGAUAGGCCAGAGUCGACCAAGAGAAAUCCAAGUGCCGCCUCGAAAAAGUCUGUCUACACAGAACUCCAAGAUGGUGUCUUAGUGGAAGAGCUGAAGGCGGAGGAGAUUAUGUUGCCAGGGGGUAGUGGUCAGUCAAAGAGGCUUCCUCCUAUGGAAGAGGAAGGGGAAGACUAUGAUGUGAUGGAAGACAUUCAGAAAAGUCUGAACAUAGACAAUCUUUACACAUUCAGACAUCAGUUUCUUCCAACGCAUCAUAUCGGGGUUACUAAAAGGGACCAGUAUAGGAAAAUGAAGUCAAUGGAGAGUCAAGUCAUCGGAAUGGAGGAUGCUUCAGAGCAGAAUGUUCUGUCUGCCGUGAGGGCUGUUAGACAUCUAGAAAAAAGAUUAGAAGAGGAGCUGGAUGCCCUCAACUUCAUUGGUGAUGACCGUCCCAACUUUCACAAACUUCAAGUCUAUAGCAACGUAUUAGAGGAUUUGAUUGAAGAGAGUCCUACAUUUACAUACAUAUUAAAAAGCAUAAAGAUGGAAUACGACAAUUACAUCUCCAAGUUGCUUGACCAGCAGUCACCUGACCAUACCAAGAAGCUGCGGACCCAGGCGGAGCUGAUGUUGUAUCGCGGGACGUCACGACCCCAGGAGCUACAGGAAGUUGAGAACAAGGUCUCCACGCUGGAGGAGAAGGCCAAGUCAUUGCUGGAAAAUAAUGAAAGGUUGAGGAAAGAAUUGCUUGAGGAAGAAGAACUGUUAUCUAGAGAACCUACUGAGCCAGAACCACGGGUUCAGCUGGCAAGUACGUACCAUGAAGAACCUAUGGCAGAACUGGCCGAUGAAAUAGAACACGUCAAAGCCCUGAUCCUGGAGAAACUAGAUGAUCUGAAUGCGCUUCGAACCAAACUCAGAGAGGAGUAUGUGCCGCUCACUGUCUGCAAUCAUCUGGAGCAGUGUAUUAAAGAAACAGAGGUGGAGGUACAGAAACUUCUUAAACAGAAUGAGUACCUGGAGAGAAGUAUAUCGGAGAUGGAGACUGAUCUAAGGGAAGCCAUUCAGGAUGCUGACACUAGCGAGAGAGAUGCAAGGCGCAUUUGGAGGAAGGUCAAUUCUCGCAAAGGUCUGCCGCACAUGCCCAAUGAAAAGAACGGCACCACAGAGAGUGAUGAUGAUGAUGAUGACGAAAGCAAAUGGAACUGGUAUAUCUCCUAGUGACCUGGGCAUGUACACAUGUAUUGCGCAAUAUCAGUGGGCGUUUCCUUGUGUAUUGCGCAAUCACAGGGAGGUUUCUCAUUUUAAAUUACAGUAGCAGACAGUUCAAUUUCAUAUCAAAUUUUUGUGUCUUCUUUGACAUAUUCUUUCUUUACUAAGUUGAAGUAAAGAAAAUAUAUCUGUUGUGAAAUAAAACUUUUAAUUUAACCUUAAAAGUAUUAAGCAUCCGUCCAUUGUCAAAACCAUGUGAUAUGUAGAGAGAUAUGUUAAUUGAAUCAAGACGUUGAUUAUUACUGAACCUAUGUCUACCGUUUAUAAUAUUUUGUUAAUUAAAGAAAACUGCGAUGCACUGCAUGUCUAUUGGAUUUUAUUGAAUGUUGAUGUAUGUUGUUAUAAUAUAAUUUAAUAAAUUAUCAUUUAACUUUG